AAUAAUAAAAAAAGAAAGUCGGUACUUGAACGUGUAUGUGACAUAAGGAUGCUGCGGGGACUAAUGGAAAAACCACACAAAACACAGCACUUGCUAUUCUAAACUAGUGUGUACAGUCCAUAAAACCAAACACUCAUCUUAGGUAACAUAUAGGUCAAAUAGAUUAGUUCAGGGGUAAGCAACCUUCGGCAGUGGUGCAGACUGCAUCUCCCACAAUGCCCUUACGGUCC